AAAUUGAAGAGUUUGAUCAUGGCUCAGAUUGAACGCUGGCGGCAGGCCUAACACAUGCAAGUCGAACGGUAACAGGAAGCAGCUUGCUGCUUUGCUGACGAGUGGCGGACGGGUGAGUAAUGUCUGGGAAACUGCCUGAUGGAGGGGGAUAACUACUGGAAACGGUGGCUAAUACCGCAUAAUGUCGCAAGACCAAAGAGGGGGACCUUCGGGCCUCUUGCCAUCAGAUGUGCCCAGAUGGGAUUAGCUUGUUGGUGAGGUAA
rnacentral:rRNA from 1 species